GACGAACGCUGGCGGCGUGCCUAAUACAUGCAAGUUGAGCGAUGAAGAUUGUUUCUUGCACCAAUUUGAAGAGCAGCGAACGUGUGAGUAACGCGUGGUUAAUCUGCCUUUGAUCGGGGGACAACAUUUGGAAACGAAUGCUAAUACCGCAUAAUAACUUUAAACAUAAGUUUUAAGUUUGAAAGAUGCAAUUGCAUCACUCAAAGAUUAUCCCGCGUUGUAUUAGCUAGUUGGUGAGGUAAAGGCUCACCAAGGCGAUGAUACAUAGCCGACCUGAGACGGGGAUCGGACAAAAUGGGAAGGAGACAGGGACCAAACGACUAAGGGAGGGAGCAGUAGGGAAACGUAGGAAAAGGAGGAAAGUGUGAACGAGCAACGCCGCGUGAGUGAAGAAGGUUUUCGGAUCGUAAAACUCUGUUGGUAGAGAAGAAAGUUGGUGAGAGUGGAAAGCUCAUAAAGUGACGGUAACUACACAGAAAGGGACGGCUAACUACGUG
rnacentral:rRNA from 1 species